rnacentral:rRNA from 2 species
UACGAAGGGUGCAAACGUUGCUCGGAAUCAUUGGGCGUAAAGCGCACGUAGGCGGCUUCGCAAGUCGGAUGUGAAAUCCCUCGGCUCAACCGAGGACGUGCAUACGAAACUGCGAAGCUUGAGUACUGAAGAGGAUCGCGGAAUUCCCGGUGUAGAGGUGAAAUUCGUAGAUAUCGGGAGGAACACCAGUGGCGAAGGCGGCGAUCUGGGCAGAUACUGACGCUGAGGUGCGAAAGCGUGGGGAGCAAACAGG